AUGAGCGCCAGCGCCAGCCGCCCAGAGCUCCGCAUCCGCCAGCUCCUCACAGACGAGCGAGCCCGCCUGCCCGAUCCCCCGAAAUGCGUUGGAGGUAUUCUCUUUUCCAAUGACCUAAUCCUCGCCUUCACGCCAUGGCACCGCGACACCUACUACUGCCGCAUUGGGGAUGCUCAGUGGCAAGCGGCGCGGUGCGAUGAGGGCUACAACAUUCACAGUCUGAUGUUCGUGAAAGGCACCCUCUACGCGUUGAUUUAUCCAAAUUAUCGUCUUGCUGUUGUCGAGCUUGACAACAAUUCCGUGGUAUUGUCGUUUCUUGGGGAUGAACUUAGCGCACAUACAGUACCAGAUGGUAAUUUGGCGGCCUGGCUCGCAGAGUGUCAUGGUGAGCUAUUGCUAAUUAUCAGAAGGAGGCUGUACGUACCGUGUGUUCCAGUGGCAAUCCAAGGAGAGGAAGUGGGCGAGGACACAUAG
rnacentral:rRNA from 1 species